CCAGACUCUGGUCUGAGUGGUUGACUUGUAUCCCCAAGAUUACUCCUCCUAGCACCAGGUGAGUGGGCUGUCUUUGGGGCUACAUCAAUAUCAGGGGACACUGGGUUGUUCAGCCUGGCUGGCUGAAGCUUCCUGGAAGAAAACAUCUCAUUUUCAGAUUUUGAGAUGCCUUAAAGUCUGGUCUUUAGUCCUUCUGGCUGAAGGAAGUCAAUUUUAAGAGCUGACUGACCAUAGUCUUCUUUCUCAGAUAGUAAGAUGCUUAUGAGAAAGUAAGAAAGUUCAAAAGAAUUCAUUUAGGUUUUGACAAAACCCAUCCUUGCAGGACAGCAACCUCUGCGUUCGUGUGUCACCUCCAAUCUACUGCAGCAGAGGCAGAGCAGCAGGUGGGUGCCCAGGCUUCUGCCAGGUACCCUGGGACAGCACCACUAUCUCAUGCUGUGUCUCUCUCACACCUACUGUACCAGACUGCCAGCUGUGGUGGGUGGCUUUAAAGAUAGAGCUCAGAAUACAGGCUCUCAUCUUGGGAUUGACCUGCAGAGAAAUGGGUGGAGAGGGAUUCUCCAAAGGGAUGUUUGGAAAGUAAACCUACUCUGUGGAGGGGCUGGAAACGUGUGUUACCUCUGUGGCUGAUGCUGAAACCCUCUGCUUGCUGCCAGGAGCUGAACCUCCAGGUAUGACCAGAUGUAGCUGGAUGACUAGAGUAAAAAUGGCAUCAGCAAUGUCAGCUGAUGAGAUUUGAGAAGUAACCACUUCCAGUGACCUCUGGGCCAUAGCAGUGAGUAGAGCUGAUAAUUCAAUCACCUAAUCAUGUUUCCAUCGAAAAGCAGCUGUGUGUGGGCCUGUGUGCUUUGUGGGUAUUUGCACCAUUCAAAUUGCACCAUGUAAGACUGCUAAUGAUAUGACUUUCUUAUGUGCUUGCCAAUGACUCUUAUCUGCAGCAAUAGAGAGGAUAGGUCUGUGUUACUGAAUUUGAUGUACAAAAGCGUGUCACUAAAAAUUAUUUCCCUUAGUGGCACUGCAAAGAGGCAAUGCUUUCUGUGGGCUCAGACACAAAAUCCAGCGACUGAAACCUAAGUAACAUCCCUGUAUCAGGAACAUCUUAAUGCCACAAAGCAUUAAAAUAGGUUUCACACAGUUUGAGCUAUUUACCACGUCAGUAAACAGCUUGCUCUAAAAUGCGAGGGUUGCUGUUACAUGAGAUAACACUGAGAUUUCACUCGGUCCUUACCUCCUACUGCAUCCCAGGUAGGUUUGUCAGCAUUUAGCCAAUGGGCCAUUAAAUUGUUUUACUUGAAAUGCUACAUAGGGACUAACUUGGCUGUGCUGACAAGAAGCCACUGCACAACCAAGGACAAUUUGAUGAGAAUCUACAAGAGAAGAAAAGAGAUUAACAUGGAGGAGAGGAGGGGAUUUUGAUUUGACUGGUUUUUUUUUAUACACAGCCACAAAUCAGGAGCAGAACUGUUUGCUUAAAUCCUUAUUUUCCUCCUAAAAUCCUUAUUUUCUCUUAUCAUGUUUGCUCAGGCAUGCAUGAACAGAGUGCCUCAAACAGUUUGUGUGGGAAGCCACUCAUAGCGUAUCUAUGGGCUGUUUAAAUGGAUGGAAAUUGCAUCAUACGCAUCAGACAGAUGUCUGAGAAACCCGAAAAGGGGGAUGCAUGUCUGCAGCAGAGAGAAUGCUUUUCUUUUCUCCUUGGGUACCACUGUGUGCCAGCACCAGCAGGCAAGCUCGUGGGUCAGGCCCUGCUGCACAGGCUCCAGAGGCAGCAAGAACCUGCUGAAAAAAACAAAUCUUAAUGCCGAAAUACUCCUUAGUACUUUUCUCAUGUUCCUUUCACAAAGGCUGUGGAAAGCUUGGGGUAUUUUCCUAACUCACACCCCAACACAAAACUCUCAUUUAUCAAGUAUUUAUCUGCUGUGCUGUAACUUGCUGCUGUCAUUAAAUAAUGCAUCUGAAAUGCAGGCUUGAGCGGAUCACUCUGCUGAGAGCGCUGUGCUUUUGAAAUGUGAUGGAGCUCAUCUGCCUGUCCUGGACCAAAGAGGCAGACAAGGCUGGGCUGGUUUGGGCACGGCUGCAGGUUUGUCCUCACUGUUCCUUGCUCAGGGAUAUCACUUCACAAACAGUAAAUAGGCUUCCAGUUUUUAUUUCCAAGUUUAGAUAAAAUGAUCUGUAUUUUCAUUUUCUUUUAGAAAGAAAGCAGGCUGGAGAAGCAUCCCAGAAUGGCCAGAAGCUCAUUAUAAGCUUUUUCUCUCAGAUUCAGUCCCAUUCCCAACAUUUUCCAGUUUGUUGAAGCCAAUAUAUUUGUUUUCAGCAAAUGAAUGCUUUAUGAUGACAACCCCUCUCGUGGGGAAGAUGCCUGCUGGUACCUCCUGGGGCUCAGAAGGGAAGCCUGGGAACCAUUGUUGGUUUUGAGUCCAAAACAGUGCAUUCCUGUGGUGGUAAAAUUACUUCUGUUUUAUUCUUUAUGGAUAUCAAAAUACUGAGUUCAGAGCUUCAUUUAAAACAAUAGCAUUUUGUGCAAGUAAAUCAUCUUGCUUAUGUGCAGUCUUUCUACUUACAAAGUCCAUAUUGAUUCUCCUGUCCCACUGAACAGCCCUGCUCUGCCUAAAGACCACUCAGGCCUGCUCAGGAUAGAUGCGAUUUAUCAACAUACUUCUCCAGCCAUAGCUGUAGUGUUUACACACAGUUCAAACAUUCAGAUGUGGCCCCUUCUCCUCAGAUGGAUGAUGUGGAAAUUAUUUUCUGUUCUGAACUAAUUCUUCCUGUUGGCACCUACAGCAUUUUUUGUUCAUGUACUUAUUGAUUGAUUAGUCCGGCCUCAACAGUUCUAUGCGACCCUUCAGUCUUGCUGUUAACCUAUGCCUGUGCCCAUUCCAGACCACAUCAUUCAGUACCACCUCUGCCCUUUCCCUGAGCACCUCCAGGAAUGCUGACCCCACCACCUCCCUGGGCAGCCUGUUCCAAUGCAUCACUUGUGUCUGUACUCAGUGCAGCAGGCUCUGAGCUCUGUGAGAUGCUGCUGUACAAACAGCAUGGGUGUGUUGUCUGUGAUGUAGCUACUUGGGAUUGUUGCAGGACCCCACCAUGAGCAAGACAGCUGCAGGCAUUUUCUCUUGUCCUUUUCUCUUGUCCUUGUGAGAGGCAGGGCAGGUUGUCCCUGGUGUUGCAGCGAGGGGCAGGGACCUCCCUACAGCCCUGGGCUCUGCAGGUGAGCAGGGGAUGAACAUGAGGAACGCUGCAGGCAGACCCUUCCCAGCUGCUCCCUUCCCACCAGGCAGGGCUCCUCAUGGACAGCCUGGGCCCACUCAGCCAUGCAGGCAGCUCCCUGGGCCUGUGCUGCAGCUCUGCUCAGCUUUAUUUUUGUUCUUCUUCCAGUAUUUGCAGUACCCAUUUACUCCUGAGGCAUGCGAGUCUGACUAAUCCUUCAGGGGUGUCUCAGGGGAGGACCAUCCUACAGAAAAGCAUGUCUCCCUGCAGUGUGAACUCCCACCGGGUGCAUCUGGCUCUGGGACAAGGCUCAUGCAGUGCUGGGGAAGACCCAAUAUCGUAUAAUUUAGAUGCUUUCCACUCUUCCUUCCAGAAGUUGGCAAACUGCUUACCUGCCUCUAAAGCAUCCCUGUUGUUGUGACUCUGUGUCCAUCUCAGCCUCCUGUCACCAGCCUGAAAGACUGAGCUUUUUGCUGCAUGCUUCAGCAGUAGCGCCUGCAGAGGUGUAACAGAUGCAGUAAGAAUUGCACCUGCUUCCACUGCUAUCAGAAGUCAAACAGCUGAUUGUUACCUCUCCAGGGGCAUUGGUGAGCUUCAGUCGUUGCUCUCCUAUUUCAAAAUCCCACCUUUAAAAAGAAAAAUAAGACACAAAAAAAUGUGGAGCCUGGAAAGAAGCUCAAACUUUCUGUCCCCAUCUUUCUGCUUUUUUUUCUUCCUGUGGAAUAGCAUGGAAAAGUCACCAUCACUGAGAUCUCAGAUAUCUCAGCAGUGUUACAGUGAGGGCCAGAGGAUGAGUUUGAGUGGGCUUUUGUACUUAAAGUUCUAUUGGAUGAAUGUGGAUCUGGAUGUUUAGCAUCCGGGGGGGUGCAUGGCUGCUUAGGUCAGCCCAGACGCUCGUGGGAGUCAUGGGAGUGAACAACCAGCACUUCAUCUGCAGGACCUGCCCCUGCCCUGCAGGACUGUGCUGGAGCCCCACCUCCAGUUCCAUUGCUACUGGAGCCAUUCACCCCAGGGAAAGCCCAGGGCGGGCCCUGGACAGGCACAAUUCAAUGGGAAAGGAAGCAGUACAAACAAGAAGACUGUGUUCUUGGCAGCAGCUGCCUGGAAGAUGGCUGGGACGUGCAGCUAAAUAUCUGGCAGAGAAGAGGGCAUCAAAAACCAACAGGAGAGAAUAAAUGAUGUUCCAGCGGGAUGCUAGAAGUGCCACCCUAGCACAGCCCCGUUCCUGCUUACAGAUGCUUGUGAGCUGCUCCCACCCACGGCACAGAUUGGUUAUGAGAGGAAUUCUCUGGUUCCUCAGCCCCAGCCUGGAUGUACGCAUCUAAAUCAUUUAGAAAACUGUUUGAUUCACGCUGUUCCCGACGUCACCCACGUGCGAACAAAUCAUACAGUUAUUCAUCAGUCUGAGAUCUUUGUCUUGCAUGAUUUCCAGUGAGAUAAAAAGAACCAGUUGGCAGUUUGAGAAAAAAAAAAACUCCUACAUUUCUGUGAUUUCUCCAAGUUUCCAGUGCCAGCGUGCAGUCAGGAGGAAAUAAAGUGGCUGGAGAACGGCCGAGGAUGCAGGUCUGGCUGACAGGAGCAGGGCACACAGCAGCACAGGUUCCUCACAACCCUUUUAGCUGGGUUAGCUGCCAGCAUUGGCCAGAGCAGUCAGUAAACCAGUCCGGUACAACAGUGCUAAUGCCCUCUCAACUCAGCCUCGAUGUGUUUCUAAACUCCCCCUCUCCCUUGUAGAGAACCCAGCUGUGCUCGUACUGUGUGGAAUCCUUCAAACAGCAAAAAAAAAGAAAAAGAAAAAGAAAAAAAAGAACACGACAAAGUGAAUGCUGCUUCUGCUUCCACCAUCAAAGGACACUUUCAGACUUCAGGCUACUGCCACUGCUGCUGGUGGAGCCGCAGCAGCACGGAAUGGCUGCAGGCCUGGAAACAGGGAGGGUAGAUUGGAUGCACGUUAUCUUGAGCAAAGGUCCUGCUGCUUUUAAAGAUUAGCAGAAUUGUUACCUAUUACUAAAGCUGUCGAGUCAUGGCUGGAGGUGGAAAUCACUGCUCUAAUGGAGUCAUAAUAAUUCCACUACAAAGAAGGAGAGAAAGAGAAGGAAAUUUAAUAAAAGAUGUGCUCACAGGAAGAUGCAGUCUCCGGAGCUAUUUUCUGUUCUGUUUUUGUGUCUGUUGAAAGGAAACACAGAGAUGAAUAAAUAAGAACAAGUUAAGCUCUUUCAAUGGGCACAGACAAUGUAAAUGUGUGACAGAGCCUUUCAUCCUCAGCACUCCUGCCCACAUUCCUGCUUCUCAAACGGCAGUGCAGCUCAGAAAUACAUUUUAUGUUUAUUUUUUACCCAUAUAACUCAAACUCCACUCACUUCCCAGUAAGAAGUCGCAACAGAAGAGAGAACAGUGCCCUCAAGAUGACCCCUUGGCAGAUUUUCAACCUUAGGUAGCUGUUUCUAUGUUCUGGGAAAACAGAGCAGCAAAUGAGGUUCUGCAACAAAGUGGGACCCACUUUCCAGGCCGUCCCUCAAGAAGAUCGGCCAAAAGAAGGGUAUGAGGAGGGGUGUUGGUUUCUUUUCUCCGGUUACAAGUAAUAGGACUCGAAGAAAUGGUCUCAGAUUGCUUCAUGGGAGGUUUAGGCUGAAAAAUAAGAAUAAUUUCUUCAUGGAGACUGUGGUCAAGCAUUGAACAGGCUGUGCAGGGCAGUGGUGGAGUUCCUACCCCUGAAGGUAUUUAAGAGUUGUGUGGACGUGGC
ensembl:lncRNA